rnacentral:rRNA from 1 species
GUCUUUUUGAGUUAUAUAUAAAGUUUGGCCUGCCCAUUGAUUAAAAAUUAAAAGGCUGCAGUAUUUUGACUGUACAAAGGUAGCAUAGUCAUUAGUUUUUUAAUUGGAAACUAGAAUGAAUGGUUGAAUGAGGAAUUAGCUGUUUUAAUUUAAAUUAUGAAUUUUACUUUYUUAUUAAAAGGUAAGAAUUGUUUUAAAAGACGAGAAGACCCUAUAGAGUUUUAUAUAAAAUUUAAAUUUUUAAAUUAAGAUUAUUUUUUAACGAGUUAUUUUUUUUUAUUUUGUUGGGGUGACAAUAAAAUUUAAUAAACUUUUAUUUUUAUAAACAUUAAUAAAUGAAUUUUUGAUCCAUUAUUAAUGAUUAUAAAAUUAAAUUACCUUAGGGAUAACAGCGUAAUUUUUUUUUUAAGUUCAUAUUUGUAAAAAAUUUUGCGACCUCGAUGUUGGAUUAAGAUUAAAUUUAGGUGCAGCCGUUUAAAAUUUAAGUCUGUUCGACUUUUAAAUUCUU